ACUGUUGAAUAAUAAAAAAAAUGUAUGCAUCUUAUUAAAAAAAAAAAAAAAAAAGAAAUUAUUAUAACUAAUUAUUUUCAAAAAUUCUAAAUCGAAAAAAAAAAUAAAAAUUCAACCUAUAUCAAUAUAGAAUUUUGUUUCGGAGUCGUAACAUUUUAAGCGAAUGAUAUUUGUGGACAACCGAGCAUUAUAUAAUAAUAGACUACAUUUUUUUAAGUUAAACAAUGACGAGCUUUAAAAUGUCUUAUAGUUAACCCUUUG